AUUUGACCUAAUAUUUUGUAAGAAAAAUGUGUAUAAAGUCUAAGGAAUAUGAAAAAAGUAUUUAAAAAAUCGGGUUUUCAACAAGUAUUUCGAUUAACAGCCAGUAUCGGUAGCAUUUAUCGGAAUAUAGGGUAUCGGUAAAAAGUGAUUUAAGCCCAUCUCUAAUAAUAAUAUAAAUAAAUAAACACUUUUUGGUUUUAAUUUUUAAAAAUUUAAAAAGUUAAUUUAAUUUAAUCAGAAUUUACAGUAAAUUGUAGGUAUCCAUAAUAUUAUACUCAUAUUUGUAAACGUAAUAUUGUGCAGAUUUGCCUACUUUACUUCAAAUACAUUACUUGCAUAUAAAUAAACGAAGUAAAUUAAUGAAGUAGGUAUACAGGCUCAUUAUCAAAAUGGAACUUUUAGACGCGUUGUCAGGACUUUUAAAAGGAGAAGCUAAAGUGUACAGCUGUCCCCUUUCGGCCACUUUUAUCUCUUCACAUUAUUCUAUCAACCUUGCCAAAAAAUUAAUAUCUCCUCCCAUGGAAUUAAAUACUUCAAUACGAUGCUGUUUUUUUUUACUUUCAAAAUGUACAACAAUAAAAUAGACGUCGGUUCUUGUGGGUUUUUUUUUUGUUUUCGAAAGGGAUAGCAUAUCCACAAAAUAACUUGAAAUAACAAUAACUGCAAGUGUUAAUAGAU